rnacentral:rRNA from 1 species
ACUUAAAUUGAAGAGUUUGAUCAUGGCUCAGAUUGAACGCUGGCGGCAGGCCUAACACAUGCAAGUCGAGCGGUAGCACAGAGAGCUUGCUCUCGGGUGACGAGCGGCGGACGGGUGAGUAAUGUCUGGGAAACUGCCUGAUGGAGGGGGAUAACUACUGGAAACGGUAGCUAAUACCGCAUAACGUCGCAAGACCAAAGUGGGGGACCUUCGGGCCUCAUGCCAUCAGAUGUGCCCAGAUGGGAUUAGCUAGUAGGUGGGGUAACGGCUCACCUAGGCGACGAUCCCUAGCUGGUCUGAGAGGAUGACCAGCCACACUGGAACUGAGACACGGUCCAGACUCCUACGGGAGGCAGCAGUGGGGAAUAUUGCACAAUGGGCGCAAGCCUGAUGCAGCCAUGCCGCGUGUGUGAAGAAGGCCUUCGGGUUGUAAAGCACUUUCAGCGGGGAGGAAGGCGUAAGGUUAAUAACCUUGUCGAUUGACGUUACCCGCAGAAGAAGCACCGGCUAACUCCGUGCCAGCAGCCGCGGUAAUACGGAGGGUGCAAGCGUUAAUCGGAAUUACUGGGCGUAAAGCGCACGCAGGCGGUCUGUCAAGUCGGAUGUGAAAUCCCCGGGCUCAACCUGGGAACUGCAUUCGAAACUGGCAGGCUAGAGUCUUGUAGAGGGGGGUAGAAUUCCAGGUGUAGCGGUGAAAUGCGUAGAGAUCUGGAGGAAUACCGGUGGCGAAGGCGGCCCCCUGGACAAAGACUGACGCUCAGGUGCGAAAGCGUGGGGAGCAAACAGGAUUAGAUACCCUGGUAGUCCACGCCGUAAACGAUGUCGAUUUGGAGGUUGUGCCCUUGAGGCGUGGCUUCCGGAGCUAACGCGUUAAAUCGACCGCCUGGGGAGUACGGCCGCAAGGUUAAAACUCAAAUGAAUUGACGGGGGCCCGCACAAGCGGUGGAGCAUGUGGUUUAAUUCGAUGCAACGCGAAGAACCUUACCUGGUCUUGACAUCCACAGAACUUUCCAGAGAUGGAUUGGUGCCUUCGGGAACUGUGAGACAGGUGCUGCAUGGCUGUCGUCAGCUCGUGUUGUGAAAUGUUGGGUUAAGUCCCGCAACGAGCGCAACCCUUAUCCUUUGUUGCCAGCGGUCCGGCCGGGGACUGAAA